UCUAUGACGAUAUAACUAUUAACUAUAAUAAUAUGUGUCGUUGUGCACAAACGAGUCGUCCGUUUUCAGAUUAACGACGGACAUCGUUGUACAAACGUGUUGCAGCGAUGUUAUAUUUUACAUUUUAUUUGACACAGUUAUACUUAACCAGUGGUACAGUCACGUGAACUAAGUUAUGAUCCGAUGGGUACCAACAAUUUAGGAAAUAUAGAAACAGGACCAUUUCAGCCAAAACUUCAAGGUCACAGAGGGGAAUUCAAAAAUAUGUCUGCGAGUGGAAAUGGUUAUUAUAUUGCGAGUUGUGACCAAGACAAUAUUAUACGGUUAUAUGAAAAAACCAAAGAACCUCUUGUAUUAGAUGAUAAACGGGAAGAAGAAAGAACACAAGAAGAUAAAUAAUAAUAUAUCGGUGAGUGGCAAUAGAUUUUUGAUAGCGAGUUAUGGCCAAGAAAAUAUACGGUUAUAUCAAAAAAACAAAAGAGCCUCUUGUACUAAAUGAUGCGGCGGAAAAAGAAGAAAAACUAGCCACAGGCGAAGAAACCAAUGUAUAUGGAGGGCCAUUUGUUAUUUCAUUGGGAUGCAAUUUGGAUCAACUAAAUUGACAUCAGGUGGGUGGUCUUCUUUCGGACGUUUAGCAACAAAACAAUAAUCACAGUCUGUAUCCAGAACACCAAAACACGUCCGCACCAAAUAGCAACACUACGGGAAAGUAGCCACGUGGAAAGUUCCACGGUCUUCGCGAGUAAACUAUUUAUGAACUAUAUAUAACAAAAAUUUAUUUGGUAUUAAUUUUCACUUAUUUAUAAAAUAUUUAAGGUCCGCACCAAAUAGCAACACUACGGGAAAGUAGCCACGCGGAAAGUUCCACGGUCUUCGCGAGUAAACACUACCAUUGUGCCGGUAGGAGCGUCAUCAUACAUUGCAGGUCGGGGAUGUUUUAUGCGUGCUCGUAAAUUGUGUCAGUCGGACUACAGCACUGACUAUAAUUUAAAUAGUGCAAAUAGCUACGAAAUAUGCGACCGUAGAACAAACCGAAGCGGCACGACAUCAUACUACUCGCGGCACCAACCAGACUGGGGACGACCACCCAUCAUGUGUCAUUUGUGUAUAGGAAAUUUAGACAUACACGGCGGGACUGCCACCUAAACAAAUGAUCAAGAAGCCUUGUUUGGAUCGACGGGAUAUGCCAGAACACGAGGACCCCGGGCAUAGAAGAAAAGAGGGAAACUAUUCAAGAUAUGGAAAAUCGGAAGGUUUUGAUGAUACAUUACAACAGAAAAUAACACAUUUUUUAUUUUACCCAGCCAAAAAAUAUACAACACACUUACACAAUCAAAAACUGUUGAGUGUUGAGUCUGUAUAAUUAUGUUCUAACAAAAUGUCAUCUAAAUCACAGCAGUCAUCUUGAAUAAUUUUGACAAUUUUAAUUUAUUUAUUCACUUUAGUAACCUUUUCAAAUAAAUUUUCUGGAUCAUUAAGUACAUUUUUUAUAUCACAAAUUGAUACAGAAAUAGUUUCUAAAAACUGUAAUUAUUAAAAUUAUUUUUAGUUUUUGUAUA